UAAGCACUUCAUGCUCAGUUUGAGUAACAAAGCCCUUUUCUUUACAGGUUGCUAGACUGACUGAAUGUGAGAGAAUAUUAGUGGCAUUGGAACUUAGCAUCUUUUUGAAUGAUUCCAGUUAUGUCCUUCAAGCUGUGACUCAGUGUUAUGGCCUCCUUGCUCCUAUAAUAUAUCACAAUAUUGUUUUGGUACCUGUUGUACAGAUUCUACGUUCAUGGAAGGAAUAUGAUAUGGCAGCAAUGGUUAUAAAUUAUGGAAAAAAGAUGUUGGACAUCACAACAGAGUGCAGGUCACUAUUUGGUAAGAAUGAUCCAGAAGAAAUACCAGAUGAGGGUUCGUCUAAGAAAUCUGUAAAAACUAAGAAGCCACAACAGAUAUUGUUGCCUGAAAAAUUAAAUGAACAAUUGACCUUGUUGGAGACACACCUACUCAAACUGAUAAAACAAUAUGUUGCGGCUGAACUCUCAGGAGGAGAAGACCCUAUAUUUCUUUACCCUGUGGUUUUAAAUUGGUCAGUGAAAGGUGCUGUGAAAGAAGUUAUGAAAUUUAAGCACAGACCUAGAUUCCUGGAAUUUUUUACUCAAGUUAUGCUUAAAUGCCUGAAUGAUGAAAAAUUUUCCCUUUUGUUGGAGAUAACAAUUCCUGUCCUUGACUUCUUGAAAAGGAGGAAUGAAUCCCUAAUUGGACAAAGAAGAAUAAAAUAUAGGGACAAUUUUGCUUAUAAAAAGGCAAAUGUACCUUCAAAGAA
rnacentral:lncRNA from 1 species